AACUCAUCAAAACAGACUGCAACGCCACGGCCAGCGCUGAACGUUUGCCGACGAUGUUCGGCCGGCGCAAAAUGAUCCGCCAUUAAACGUCCGUUGGUUAGCCACUCGCUAGCUGUGCUAGCUUACCCCUCCAUUUGUUAGCCUAGCUGCAGGUAAUAAUGGACAGAUAUCAGGUUGGUAAGACACCGGAAUGCAAAGAAAGUCGUUUUUUACUGUUCAAGACACGCCGUCAUGACGGAGGAGCUGAAAGUUAACGGCAGGAGACGAGACGUGAUGCAGCAGCGUUUUGAAGGAACAACAGAGAGGCGUGUUUUUUGUUUUCCCCAGUGGUGUUCUAACAAUCUAACCAGUUCACCACCAGUAAAAAUGAAAAGCAGGAUAUGGGACCAAGAGAGAUGGAUGUAAAGAAGAAAGGAGGGGCGCGAAGUACCGAGGGAAUAGAUGGAGAGGAGAGGGAGGCUGCGAUGGAGGAGGCUGAUGUCAUCGAUUCAAAGCAAGAAGAAAAGAGUGGAGAAAGGGAACGAGCCAGGAGACUGAAGUGAAAAGAUGCUGAGAUAAAGGAGAAGCGGAGAUGGAGACAGGAAUGUGAGGAGGAGAAACCGAAGGGAUAAAACAGAGGGAUAAAAGACGGGAAGACGGGGAAACACCUGCAGAGUUGGCUGCAGACGGAGGGAUUGUGGAAAGCGGGAAGCAGCUUCAGUCACCAAAGCAAACCAGCACAGACUGAAUUAAGCGUGUCUCCCUGGAGAGUGUGUGCCUAACCUGGGAGGGUGUGUGUUGUCCCG